rnacentral:rRNA from 1 species
GAUGAACGCUAGCGGCAGGCUUAAUACAUGCAAGUCGAGGGGUAGCAAGAUUGUAGCAAUACAAUUGUUGACGACCGGCAAACGGGUGCGGAACACGUACACAACCUUCCUACAAGUGGGGAGUAGCCCAGAGAAAUUUGGAUUAAUACCCCGUAACAUAGCGAUGUGGCAUCACAUUGCUAUUAUAGCUUCGGCGCUUGUUGAUGGGUGUGCGGCUGAUUAGAUAGUUGGCGGGGUAACGGCCCACCAAGUCUACGAUCAGUAACUGGUGUGAGAGAACGACCAGUCAAACGGGGACUGGUACACGGGCCCGACUCCUACGGGAGGCAGGAGUAAGGAAUGUUGGUAAAUGGACGCAAGUCUGAACCAGCCAUGCCGGGUGAAGGAGGAAGGUCCUGUGGAUUGUAAACUUCUUUUAUUUGGGACGAA